UACGUAGGGCGCAAGCGUUGUCCGGAAUUAUUGGGCGUAAAGAGCUCGUAGGCGGUUUGUCGCGUCUGUCGUGAAAGCUUGGGGCUUAACCCCAAGUCUGCGGUGGAUACGGGCAGACUAGAGGCAGGUAGGGGAGAACGGAAUUCCCGGUGUAGCGGUGAAAUGCGCAGAUAUCUGGAGGAACACCGGUGGCGAAGGCGGUUCUCUGGGCCUGUACUGACGCUGAGGAGCGAAAGCGUGGGGAGCGAACAGG
rnacentral:rRNA from 1 species